rnacentral:rRNA from 1 species
CUCAAUGAAAUUUCAAUAGCCGCAAUUCGUGCUAAGGUAGCAUAAUCAUUUGUCUUUUAAUUAAAGACUAGAACGAAAGAUUUAACACUUCUAUUUCUUUCUUAUUCAUAUUUUUUUAAUUUAUUCUAAAUAUAAAAAAAUAUUUAUAAAAUAAAAAGACGACAAGACCCUAUUGAACUUUACUUCAGUUAAACUGGGGCAGUUAAUCAAAUAUUAUUUUAAUUCAAUAAAAAUUCUAAUCAAAUUAAUUAUAUCAAGUUACCAUAGGGAUAACAGCGUAAUAAUUUUCUAUAGAUCUUAUUAAAAAAAUAACUUGCGACCUCGAUGUUGAAUUAAUAUCCUACUAAAUGCAAUAAUUACUAAGGAAGUC